UACGGAGGGUGCAAGCGUUAUCCGGAAUCACUGGGUUUAAAGGGUGCGUAGGUGGUUUUAUAAGUCAGAUGUGAAAGCCCGGCGCUUACACGGCGAAUUGCAUUUGAUACUGCUGAACUUGAAUCAGGUUGAGGUGGGCGGAAUGUGGCAUGUAGCGGUGAAAUGCAUAGAUAUGCCAUAGAACACCAAUUGCGAAGGCAGCUCACUGGCCCUGAAUUGACACUGAGGCACGAAAGCGUGGGGAGCGAAC
rnacentral:rRNA from 1 species